rnacentral:rRNA from 1 species
UUCGGGGGGAGCUAGCGUUGUUCGGAAUUACUGGGCGUAAAGCGCACGUAGGCGGCUAUUCAAGUCAGAGGUGAAAGCCCGGGGCUCAACCCCGGAACUGCCUUUGAAACUAGAUAGCUUGAAUCCAGGAGAGGUGAGUGGAAUUCCGAGUGUAGAGGUGAAAUUCGUAGAUAUUCGGAAGAACACCAGUGGCGAAGGCGGCUCACUGGACUGGUAUUGACGCUGAGGUGCGAAAGCGUGGGGAGCAAAU